rnacentral:rRNA from 1 species
AUUGAACGCUGGCGGCAUGCCUUACACAUGCAAGUCGAACGGCAGCACGGGAGCAAUCCUGGUGGCGAGUGGCGAACGGGUGAGUAAAGUAUCGGAACGUGCCCAGUCGAGGGGGAUAACGUAGCGAAAGUUACGCUAAUACCGCAUACGAUCUAUGGAUGAAAGCGGGGGAUCGCAAGACCUCGCGCGAUUGGAGCGGCCGAUAUCAGAUUAGGUAGUUGGUGGGGUAAAGGCCCACCAAGCCGACGAUCCGUAGCUGGUCUGAGAGGACGACCAGCCACCCUGGGAGUGAGGACCGGCCCAGCACCCUUCGGGAGGGAGAAGUGGGGAAUUUUUGACCAUGGGCGAAAGCCUGAUCCAGCCAUGCCGGGUGCAGGAUGAAGGCCUUCGGGUUGUAAACUGCUUUUUUACGGAACGAAAAGGACUUCCCUAAUACGGUGGUCCCAUGACGGUACCGUAAGAAUAAGCACCGGCUAACUACGUGCCAGCCGCCGCGGUAA